UGGGGGAUAUUGCACAAUGGGCGAAAGCCUGAUGCAGCGACGCCGCGUGGGGGAUGAAGGCCUUCGGGUUGUAAACUUCUUUUGCUCUGAACAAGGCAUGCCUUUGGGGUGUGUUGAGUGUAGGGGUUGAUUAGCGCCGGCUAACUACGUGCCAGCAGCCGCGGUAAUACGUAGGGCGCGAGCGUUGUCCGGAAUUAUUGGGCGUAAAGGGCUUGUAGGUGGCUGGUUGCGUCUGUCGUGAAAGCUCAUGGCUUAACUGUGGGUUUGCGGUGGGUACGGGCUGGCUUGAGUGCAGUAGGGGAGGCUGGAAUUCCUGGUGUAGCGGUGGAAUGCGCAGAUAUCAGGAGGAAUACCGGUGGCGAAGGCGGCCCCCUGGACGAAGACUGACGCUCAGGUGCGAAAGCGUGGGGAGCAAACAGG
rnacentral:rRNA from 1 species